GAUGAACGCUAGCGAUAGGCCUAACACAUGCAAGUCGAGGGGCAUCACAUGAAGUAGCAAUACGGAUGGUGGCGACCGGCGCACGGGUGAGUAACACGUAUGCAACCUGCCUUCAACAAGGGGAUAACCCGUUGAAAGACGGACUAAUACCCUAUAACACAGGGGUCCCGCAUGGGGAAUAUUUGUUAAAGGACAACCGGUUGAAGAUGGGCAUGCGUUCCAUUAGCUAGUUGGCGGGGUAACGGCCCACCAAGGCAACGAUGGAUAGGGGAACUGAGAGGUUUAUCCCCCACACUGGUACUGAGACACGGACCAGACUCCUACGGGAGGCAGCAGUGAGGAAUAUUGGUCAAUGGACGCAAGUCUGAACCA
rnacentral:rRNA from 1 species